rnacentral:rRNA from 1 species
UGAGGAAUAUUGGUCAAUGGACGCAAGUCUGAACCAGCCAAGUAGCGUGCAGGAUGACGGCCCUAUGGGUUGUAAACUGCUUUUAUAUGGGGAUAAAGUGGGGAACGUGUUCCCUUUUGCAGGUACCAGAUGAAUAAGGACCGGCUAAUUCCGUGCCAGCAGCCGCGGUAAUACGGAAGGUUCGGGCAUUAUCCGGAUUUAUUGGGUUUAAAGGGAGCGUAGGCCGUUUGGUAAGCGUGUUGUGAAAUGUAGGAGCUCAACUUCUAGAUUGCAGCGCGAACUGUCAGACUUGAGUGCGCACAACGUAGGCGGAAUUCAUGGUGUAGCGGUGAAAUGCUUAGAUAUCAUGAAGAACUCCGAUUGCGAAGGCAGCUUACGGGAGCGCAACUGACGCUGAAGCUCGAAGGUGCGGGUAUCGAACAGG